rnacentral:rRNA from 1 species
AUUGAACGCUGGCGGCAGGCCUAACACAUGCAAGUCGAGCGGAUGAAGGGAGCUUGCUCCUGGAUUCAGCGGCGGACGGGUGAGUAAUGCCUAGGAAUCUGCCUGGUAGUGGGGGAUAACGUCCGGAAACGGGCGCUAAUACCGCAUACGUCCUGAGGGAGAAAGUGGGGGAUCUUCGGACCUCACGCUAUCAGAUGAGCCUAGGUCGGAUUAGCUAGUUGGUGGGGUAAAGGCCUACCAAGGCGACGAUCCGUAACUGGUCUGAGAGGAUGAUCAGUCACACGGGAACUGAGACGCGGUCCAGACUCGUACGGGAGGCAGCAGUGGGGAAUAGUGGACAAUGGGCGAAAGCCUGAUCCAGCCAUGCCGCGUGUGUGAAGAAGGUCUUCGGAUUGUAAAGCACUUUAAGGUGGGAGGAAGGGCAGUAAGUUAAUACCUUGCUGUUUUGACGUUACCAACAGAAUAAGCACCGGCUAACUUCGUG